CCCGGGCCCCGGCGUUAUCCUGCCCCGCCGGCCCAGCAGCGCUCGCCCCGGGAAGAAGCUCCUGUAGGAAAGGGCAGGAAGAGAACUUCUAAACAGAGAGCAGCUUCUGUGACUCCUUAGGAAGUCAAUGAAGUCUCCAACAGCCACCAGCUGUUGGAAACAGAUGCCAUUUGGAGAAAACACGUCAUAAUCUCACAUGGCAAACCCAGCACAUUUCAUCCACUACAGAGUGCUGUUGCAUGGAGCACCCUGCUUUAAUCCUCUAGAUGGAAUAACCCAUCCCUGAAGAGCUUCAAGGUUAUUCAAAACUCUCCUGCUGUGCUUGCUUCUUUUGAGUGAGAUUAGCAAGUCAAUCAUCAAGUGUCCACCAUGUUUUACUGAUAUCUGCUGAGACACAGUAAGCUCAAUCAUGUGUGAUCCUAUGAGAGCCACUGAAAAUGUAACAUCCACAUGGAACCAGAAGCUGCUGGAAUUGGAAGAACUGGAACCUUGGCUUUGGGGCAAUGGGCAUUUCCAUCUGAAGGAGUUAGAGGUUGUUAUUCCAAACCAUUGCAAAGCUCCAAACCGGGUCAGUGAUGCAGUUACACGGCACAGUGUACCUUUGGUUACCGGAUGAAGCAAGAGGGGCUUUCUGGCCAACACCGGCCUCGCCCUGGCUUGUACCUGCUCCAAGCCUCACAGAGCCCUUGGAGGCCACUGGCUGAGCAUUGGCAGGGUUGGCAUCCCUGGUGGAUGACUUAGGAGGGUGCCAAAUACUCGAGGUCACAUACUGGGGUGCAUGCGCGGUACCUGUAGGCCUGGGUGACAGAGAUUACAAGGGUGUUUGUAAAUGAGGCAUUUCCUAGGUAAUAGCAGGGGUUUGAGGAACACACAGAAUUCCAGCCACAGAUGGAGCUGGAGAUCAUAAUGACAAUGCAGAUGAA